GGCGAAUUGGAGGUUGACAUUUCUGAAUCGGAUAUUUGGGCUCUGAAACUGGAGACAAAGAGAAAUUGGCGAAUGUCGUUUAUGAAUUUGUGAGAAGAACCAGAUUUGGGAUACAGCUGGACAGGAAAGAUUUCAGAGUCUAGGUGUUGCUUUCUACCGUGGUGCAGACUGCUGUGUUCUUACUUAUGAUGUCAAUGUCAUGAAGUCUUUUGAGAACCUCAAUCGUUGGAGGGAGGAGUUUUUAUUACAGGCAAGCCCAAGUGAUCCUGAUAACUUCCCGUUUAUUUUGCUGGGGAACAAGAUAGAUGUUGAUGGUGGGAGCGGCAAAGUGGUAAAUUUU